rnacentral:rRNA from 1 species
UACGGGGGGGGCAAGCGUUGUUCGGAAUUACUGGGCGUAAAGGGCUCGUAGGUGGCCAACUAAGUCAGACGUGAAAUCCCUCGGCUUAACCGGGGAACUGCGUCUGAUACUGGAUGGCUUGAGUUCGGGAGAGGGAUGCGGAAUUCCAGGUGUAGCGGUGAAAUGCGUAGAUAUUUGGAGGAACACCGGUGGCGAAGGCGGCAUUCUGGACCGAUAUUGACGCUGAGGAGCGAAAGCCAGGGGAGCAAACGGG